GAUCCAUUUUGUUUUCUUGUCAGAAGGCAGUAUGUUAAACGAAACAUCACAAUCUUAGUAUUUCAACAGCAUGAAAGCCAAUCCCAGGGGUCUCAAACUCAAUUUACCUGGGGGCCGCUGGAGUUCGGGUCUGGUGAGGCUGGGCCGCAUCAGGUUUUCCACAA